rnacentral:lncRNA from 1 species
ACUUAUAUUUUGCAAGCUGGUGCUUUCAUCUGAGAAGCAUACCACCACAGCAGUGACAUCUGCUCAAGAUCUGUGAAUCUUGAGGGAUUUGGAGGUAGAAGGCCAUCAUUACCAAAAGAAAGGAAGUGCUUAUCGCAACAGUGCCAUCCUCCUCCCAGAAAGUUGAUUCUCCAAGUUUGGACUGCAAUGCUGAAUGUUACUGUGUGUAACCCCUCUGUGAAGACUUAGAAGGCAAGAUAGGUGUUAUCUCUGCAGCUGGGAGUGCCAGGUCCUUUCGCUGGAUGUUUUCCAGUGACCUUUGGAGUCCCUGCAGGGAGUGAGGGGCCCUAUCUCACGUCACCCGCCAGUGGUUCCAUGAGAGUUGAUGCUGCCCCAUCAGCCUGCCACAUGGUCAGUCUGGCAGUGAAAUCGCUCUGCAGCAGGGUCAACAUGCUGCAGAUGGGUAUUUCAGCACAGUAUUCCAACCUAUACCCCCAAGAUCAUGUCCACAGUACAAACAAGGACUGGUUAGAAAGGAUGAUAAAGCCUAAGCCAUGCUGUACCAUCUUCUUUUUAAAAAUCCUUUGAGGUCCAUAAAAAGUUAUGUCUAAGUCAGUGGUAAGGUUUUUCAUUACUUAAGUGGCCUUUCCAAAAUGUAUUAACUCAUCUUUGUAAAUGUACCUUCUGAAAACCAGAAGAUUGGAGAUUGACUUUUUUUGGUCUCCUUGCAUGUUGCCAAAGUUGUGGUUACCCCAGUAAACUACCUGUUGCAUUAAAAGCGUAUGUAUG